UUUCUGUAUUAGCCCGGCCUACCGACAAAUGUAAGCGCGCCGAGCGCGGCGGCCGCCCCUCCCUAGCGCUUGAACCUUGAGAUGGGUCAUAACAGCCAAAAUAAUAGGUUUACUUAAAAAAUGUAUAUAACCUUUUUUGUAGAGCUUUUUAUGAGCUUCAUUUUUUGUUUCAAACUUUUUUCUCUAAAAUCAAUAUUUUCCGAGAUAUUUAGUAAGAAUUAUAAAAACUUACCUUUAAAAGGGGCUGAGGGGCAAACGAGGCUUUGUCGCCAAAAAUCCUUUUAGGGACUUUCUUCUCCAAUCAAGGGUGAGCUUUGGUUAAAAUUUCAGCGGGAUCGGAGGUUUACCCUUUUUGGAACUUUAUCCACAAAAAGUACCUUCUGCCCAUGAUUCCUUUAACCUUUGCAGGUUAAAUGGUUGUAAUUUUUCAGUUCUUUCAGGCAUGUUUAAAAAAAGAUAUCAGACAACACGAAAAAAUAUACUUGUCUUACUUUAACUUAUUGCACCAUUGCAACAGUGCAGCUAGAAAGAACAGACCAGUAAUUACUGAAGAAGAACUUAGAAAAACUUAUUGUCUAGUUUACACCGAGCACUUGGUACGCGUAUCAAAUAGUAAAUAACUAGUGAAUGUGUUUAAUCAUUGGCUGAUCAGCUUAAAUUCACUACUUGAUACGCGUACCAAGUGCUCGGUGUAAACUAGAUCUAUGUUAAAUAUAGAACUCUGUAUCACAAAAUCGUUGCGCCGUCUGGUGACGCUCAGUCGGACCAAUCAAAAGUGGUCCCCUGAUGAUGGCCAGUCUCUGAUUACAGAGUCUCUAUACGCGACGUCGUCGCGCUGACAUCUGCUGGAGCCCUUAGGAGCCACAAUUACGCCAAAUUUUAUGGAGCCACAAUUGCGCCAAGCGCCAAAUUUUAAAUUUUGUGCGCCAUUUUGACCUACCAAGGAGCCACAUUGGCGCAAUUGCGCCAGACCUGGCAACCCUGACUCCUAUAGAACGAGAGGGUUCCUAAGAAGUAGCUAAGUAGUUCGUCAAAAUCCGUCAAAGUGACCAGAUAGCGCCACUUCGGGUAGUCUCGGGCUCCUUUCGGCUAAAUUCGAAUAACGGUCAGACAAAAUCUAACGAGGACGAAGAUUAUAUGUGAAUAUUUAUAAAGUUAAAAUUUAUACAGAAUUAUUUAGUGAAUGUCAUACAUAUGUAUUAGUACCUGGCUGUACAUCAAAGGCAAAUGUACCAUCGCACCGAUUCCCAAAGGAGGUAGCAAGAUCUAUAAAAUGGCAAGAGCUUGUACAAUCUCCAAAACUUGCAGGAUUGUCUGUCGCUGAAGUGGCAAAAUUUCAUAUUUGCUACAAGCACUUCUCUCAAGAGUGCUAUGUGUCUGGUUAAAGAACACGCAAAUUGAAAUUUGAUGCUAUUCCAUCACUCAAUUUGUCAUUACCAAUGGCUGUCACAAAUGCAACAAAAACUGGUGAUCAAAACGUUAAGAUUGAGGAUGUCGUCCUGGAAAGCAUAGACAUUAGAGAGAAUGUUGAGCGCGUAGAAGAAAGAAGCGAGCUUCUAAGACAAGAUAAGAAUAUUAGCAUUGAGGAUGUCGUCCCGGAAAGCAUGGACAUUGAGGAAAAUGUUGAAUGCAUAGCAAGAGGAAGCGAGUUUUCAAGACAAAAUUGUAUGAAAAAAAAA